rnacentral:rRNA from 1 species
GAGUUUGAUCCUGGCUCAGGAUGAACGCUAGCGACAGGCUUAACACAUGCAAGUCGAGGGGCAGCGGUGGUGAAGGCUUGCCUUUACCAGCCGGCGACCGGCGCACGGGUGAGUAACACGUAUGCAACCUGCCUGCCACAGCCGGAUAAUCGGGAGAAAUUCCGUCUAAUACGGCAUAAUGCACCUAUGGGACAUCCUGUUGGUGCCAAAGGUUGAUUCCGGUGGCGGAUGGGCAUGCGUCGCAUUAGUUAGUUGGCGGUGUAACGGACCACCAAGACGACGAUGCGUAGGGGUUCUGAGAGGAAGGUCCCCCACACUGGUACUGAGACACGGACCAGACUCCUACGGGAGGCAGCAGUGAGGAAUAUUGGUCAAUGGGCGGGAGCCUGAACCAGCCAAGUCGCGUGAGGGAUGACGGCCCUAUGGGUUGUAAACCUCUUUUGCCGGGGAGCAAAGUGCCGCACGUGUGCGGUUUGGAGAGUACCCGGAGAAAAAGCAUCGGCUAACUCCGUGCCAGCAGCCGCGGUAAUACGGAGGAUGCGAGCGUUAUCCGGAUUUAUUGGGUUUAAAGGGUGCGUAGGCGGACGCUUAAGUCAGCGGUAAAAUUGCGGGGCUCAACCUCGUCGAGCCGUUGAAACUGGGUGCCUUGAGUGGGCGAGAAGUACGCGGAAUGCGUGGUGUAGCGGUGAAAUGCAUAGAUAUCACGCAGAACUCCGAUUGCGAAGGCAGCGUACCGGCGCCCAACUGACGCUGAAGCACGAAGGCGUGGGUAUCGAACAGGAUUAGAUACCCUGGUAGUCCACGCAGUAAACGAUGAAUGCUAGUUGUCCGGGGCGAUUGAGUUCUGGGUGACACAGCGAAAGCGUUAAGCAUUCCACCUGGGGAGUACGCCGGCAACGGUGAAACUCAAAGGAAUUGACGGGGGCCCGCACAAGCGGAGGAACAUGUGGUUUAAUUCGAUGAUACGCGAGGAACCUUACCCGGGCUCAAACGCAGGAGGGAUGUUUUUGAAAGGAGGCAGCCAGCAAUGGUCUCCUGCGAGGUGCUGCAUGGUUGUCGUCAGCUCGUGCCGUGAGGUGUCGGCUUAAGUGCCAUAACGAGCGCAACCCCCGCCGGCAGUUGCUAACGGGCAAUGCCGAGGACUCUGCCGGGACUGCCGCCGCAAGGCGUGAGGAAGGCGGGGAUGACGUCAAAUCAGCACGGCCCUUACGUCCGGGGCGACACACGUGUUACAAUGGGCGGUACAGCGGGAAGCCAGGCGGCGACGCCGAGCGGAACCCGAAAGCCGUUCUCAGUUCGGAUCGGAGUCUGCAACCCGACUCCGUGAAGCUGGAUUCGCUAGUAAUCGCGCAUCAGCCAUGGCGCGGUGAAUACGUUCCCGGGCCUUGCACUCACCGCCCGUCA